UACGUAGGUGGCAAGCGUUGUCCGGAAUUAUUGGGCGUAAAGCGCGCGCAGGCGGUCCUUUAAGUCUGAUGUGAAAGCCCACGGCUCAACCGUGGAGGGUCAUUGGAAACUGGGGGACUUGAGUACAGAAGAGAAGAGUGGAAUUCCACGUGUAGCGGUGAAAUGCGUAGAGAUGUGGAGGAACACCAGUGGCGAAGGCGACUCCUCGGUCUGUAACUGACGCUGAGGCGCGAAAGCGUGGGGAGCAAACAGG
rnacentral:rRNA from 1 species